AACGUAGGAGACAAACGUUAUCCGGAGUUACUGGGCGUAAAGGGCGUGUAGGUGGUUUCGUAAGUCUGGCGUGAAAUUUUUCGGCUUAACCGGGAAAGGUCGUCGGAUACUGCGGAACUAGAGGACGGUAGAGGCGUGUGGAAUUCCGGGUGUAGUGGUGAAAUGCGUAGAGAUCCGGAGGAACACCAGUGGCGAAGGCGACACGCUGGGCCGUACCUGACACUGAGGCGCGAUAGCAUGGGGAGCAAACAGG
rnacentral:rRNA from 1 species